rnacentral:lncRNA from 1 species
AAGAUUAUCAAAGGAUAUACAAAUAAACUUAUUUUAUUUCAUUAAUACAUUACAACAUAGGAAAAAUCUUUAGUCAAAUCUUCCUUAUAUUCACAUAAAAACUAUUUGUUACUUUUCCCUGACGGGAGAAGUGUUUCUUACUCACUCAUAUAAAAGAUACCUAACAUUUUCUAAGAAAGAAAGAUUCAGAGAAAUGUAGUCUACCUUCUAUGAAUUUUUAUCUCUCUUUUUACAGACACAAGGAGGGGUAGAAUUACAAUAUUUAUUUUCUUCAAGGUCAUCCUGCAAAAUUUUUUAUUUCUCUUCUAGUCCCUUAUCAGAAUAAGAUUCUUCUUUCUUCUGAUUGGCUGCUUUUAGACCAUGGGGUCUAAUCUUCUUUAUCAUUUUGUCAUCUGGUGCCAACAAUUAUGUUGACGUAAGUGUUUUUGCUCUACGUCUUUUCUUCCAUAGAUGGAUUCUCUUUGCUUCUGUGAAUUACACCUCCUCAGAUAUUGAUGAGCUAUCAUCAUCGUUUCUUUUGGGAUGUCCAUAUUCUAAGAAUUUGCACGCCAUGGUCUAUGUUUCUGGAGUGGCUGCAAUUUGAUGUGUUUCAAACUCAGUAAUUUUGUCCCUUAAGACUACUGAUUUUGACUUCCUUUUGAUCAUUAGUACCCAGUGUGUAUCUCUGUUGAGAACUUCGUAAUUUUCUUCAUAUUUAUUUUUAAGAAUGUUGUAUAUUGGCUUCAUCCCUAAAGCCCUUCUGGUUUGGAUCCAUUUUUUAUUAAAAUAAGGAAUUUUCAUAUCAACACCAUUUGCAUUGAUAUUAAAAUUUCUUAAUUUUUUCACCAUUAUAUAAUUAGUCGUGGGAAAAUAUAGUUGAUUAUCUUGGGAUUCCAUUGCUAAGCUAUAGGAUCUACAAUAGACUGCUUUUUCUUCGUCAUAAUUUCUGAUUGAAAUAGUCAAAUAUAUUGGUAGUCCUUCUAAUUCAUAUAGAUCUGGGUUAGAGUAAACACGAUCUAAAUAUCCGAAUUCAAAUAAUUUGGCCGUGAAACUCGCUGAUCCUCCUAAAAAGAUGGAAAUCCUCGGAUAUAAACUUUUUGUCCCAAUGUCUCCGAAAGUUUCUCCACAGAUUUCUGGCAGAUUGUAAAUUUAUUCUAUAAACAUCAGAUACUCGUCUUCUUUGGGAUGGAUUUUUCCUACUUGAAAAGAAGCAAACUGUUUUCUUGAAGAGAAGUUAGUUUUUUUUAUUUAUCAGAUGUUAUUUCAGUUUUUACUGAUUUCACUAUUUCAGAGAAAUUUCUCUUUGCUUGGCUUUUAGCUUUGUCCGAAGACUCCGCCAUCGGUAUCUCUGGAUUUACCGUCGAUAUUUUGGCACUAGGUGCU